rnacentral:lncRNA from 1 species
CCCCGGACCCUCCCCCGCUAUCUCCUCUCCCGCUGCGCCCUCCGCCUCUCUUCCUGGUCUCUCCUCCGACCCCCCGCGGGCGGUGUCGGGGUGGUGGCCGCCCUGGGCUGCCUGCUGGGCUCUGGGGGCGCCCCCGUCAGCCUCAGGCCAGCGUUUAGAGGGGACCCGCCGAGGGUCACACCGUGCCCACGGGAAGGCCGGACCCUGGUAGACCACGUCACUGCAGGGUCGCCGUGCUCGACUCCAAAUGGCGUUGUUCAGUGUCGUGUGGGCUGAGCGUCCCUCGAGCUGGAGAUUCUUGGUCCUGCCCUUUGGAGCAGAACUGCUGAUUUGAUGAUGGAGGACCCCCUCCCCCCAAAAAGAGGAAAAUCUUUGAGCCAAGUGACAGUGACAUUCUGAAGUACUAGCAUUUGAAAUAGUACGUCUGCCCUUUACUGAGUGAUUCAUGAAAUAAAUGACAGAAACUCCAAGUUCUAAGAAAUCUU